AUGUGUGGGGGUCUUGGGAUUCAGAUGAGGGGUAAGAGCUCUUUCCCAGCCAUAAUUCUUCCUGAGUCGGUACGAGGGUGGCAGUCGACCUGGUUUUAUUGCGAAGACCAGCCGACUCCAGGUCAGUCGACUGGACUUCCUCCUUUUUCUAUGGCUCGCAUAGAGAAGCCCUCCGCCUUGAAAGUGACUCCAGGGGAGAAAGCGGAGGUGAAAGUGCUGGUUGAGCUAGUGGUCCAUCUCAUCCGUGAGGGUGUAACUGGAAUGGAUUUGCUGGAAGUCUUUCUCAGACGACGCAUUCAGCCACUUCAAGCCCGCGACCAUCCGAUGUGGAUGUACUCGGGCAUUGAAGAUUCCACUCGGGUGCACCCAGAAGAAGUCGACGAGGAUACAGUGGAGAAGUGGUUGAGGAGUAUCACUGGCAACAAGGAUAACCCCAGAGGAGCCAGGAGAAUCCCUCCACUUGACCAAUCCUAUGAACCAGACAAGGCCCUUACUGAAAUGUAUUCGAUGCCCAACAGAGAGCAGGAGCAGGACCCGGAGGGGGAGGCAAGCGGAGGUGAAAGCGGCGAGUGGCAUUCCGACGGAGAGGGGGACGAGGAGAGCGAUGACCCGAGUGACGAAGAAGAGGUCGACUCUCCUCCCCGCAGGGAAAGGCGAUGCAAACUUACUCACGACCCGGCGAGCGCCCGUGACAAGGCGACCGUUCAGACCGGGCAGUCGUCAAAGCGUCCUCGGACAUCCUCUCCGGCACCAACUGAAAAAGCUCCAAAGCAGUCCAAGGUUGUAGUGCAAAAGACUCGGAAGGCGCUGCCGAGAAUCAAAAUUGACGUUCCUGUUGCUUCUGCUGCCGCUACCUCCGAGACCUCUGCUUAUAAAAACGAGGACGAGGAAAUGGAAGAUGCGGUCACCUCCAAUCCGGCUCUCAACGUCAUUAACCUCCCCGACGACGACGAGGACGAACCACAGAGGCCCUUGGGGAGAAGAAACAGGAAAACGUCCGCUGGCAAGACGCUUCAGUCGACGCCGGUGGUGGAACCGGUAGUUCAGGACGCCGGCGAUGCCAAUCGGACUUCCGUCUCCUUCGGCCUUCCGCGUCAGCUGCAUAGGUUCCCGCCGAUCCACCUUCACUUUUUGCUACACAUCACGUCCCAAAGGACCAAGUGGGUGCUGCCAAAGAGGCUAUACGCCAGGCGGGCAUUAUGA
rnacentral:rRNA from 1 species